AGCUCCAAUAGCGUAUAUUAAAGUUGCUGCAGUUAAAAAGCUCGUAGUUGCAUUUCCGAGGCAAGGGAUUAGUCCGACCUUUGGUGGGUAUUUAAUCCUCUUGCCUCGUCCUUGAGUGGUGCUUCUUGGUAUUAAGUUAUCGAGGAGAUAGCCGCUCAUCGUUUACUGUGAGAAAAUUAGAGUGUUCAAAGCAGGCUUAUGCCGUUGAAUAUAUUAGCAUGGAAUAAUAAGAUAGGACCUCGGUACUAGUUUGUUGGUUUGAGAACCAAGGUAAUGAGGAAUAGGGACAGUUGGGGGUAUUCGUAUUCAGUUGUCAGAGGUGAAAUUCUUAGAUUUACGGAAGACGAACUACUGCGAAAGCAUUUACCAAGGAUGUUUUCA
rnacentral:rRNA from 1 species